AGAGUUUGAUCCUGGCUCAGGAUGAACGCUGGCGGCGUGCUUAACACAUGCAAGUCGAGCGAAGCACUUAAGAAAGAUUCUUCGGAUGAAUUCUUAAUUGACUGAGCGGCGGACGGGUGAGUAACGCGUGGGUAACCUGCCUCAUACAGGGGGAUAACAGUUAGAAAUGGCUGCUAAUACCGCAUAAGACCACAGUACCGCAUGGUACGGUGGUAAAAACUCCGGUGGUAUGAGAUGGACCCGCGUCUGAUUAGCUGGUUGGUGGGGUAACGGCCUACCAAGGCAACGAUCAGUAGCCGACCUGAGAGGGUGACCGGCCACAUUGGGACUGAGACACGGCCCAGACUCCUACGGGAGGCAGCAGUGGGGAAUAUUGCACAAUGGAGGAAACUCUGAUGCAGCGACGCCGCGUGAAGGAUGAAGUAUUUCGGUAUGUAAACUUCUAUCAGCAGGGAAGAAAAUGACGGUACCUGACUAAGAAGCCCCGGCUAACUACGUGCCAGCAGCCGCGGU
rnacentral:rRNA from 1 species